rnacentral:rRNA from 1 species
UUCCGGUUGAUCCUGCCAGACCUGACUGCUAUCGGAUUGAUACUAAGCCAUGCGAGUCAUUGUAGCAAUACAAGGCAGACGGCUCAGUAACGCGUAGUCAACCUACCCUAUGGACGGGGAUAACCUCGGGAAACUGAGAAUAAUACCAGAUAGAACAUUAUGCCUGGAAUGGUUUAUGUUUCAAAUAAUUUAUUGCCGUAGGAUGGGACUGCGGCCUAUCAGUUUGUUGGUGAGGUAAUGGCCCACCAAGACUAUUACAGGUACGGGCUCUGAGAGGAGUAGCCCGGAGAUGGGUACUGAGACACGGACCCAGGCCCUAUGGGGCGCAGCAGGCGAGAAAACUUUGCAAUGUGCGAAAGCACGACAAGGUUAAUCCGAGUGAUUUCUGCUAAAGGAAUCUUUUGUCAGUCCUAGAAACACUGUUGAAUAAGGGGUGGGCAAGUUCUGGUGUCAGCCGCCGCGGUAAAACCAGCACCUCAAGUGGUCAGGAUGAUUAUUGGGCCUAAAGCAUCCGUAGCCUGCUUUGUCAGUUUUCGGUUAAAUCCAUACGCUCAACGUAUGGGCUGCCGGAAAUACUGCAAAGCUAGGGAGUGGGAGAGGUAGACGGUACUCGGGAGGAAGGGGUAAAAUCCUUUGAUCUCUCGAUGACCACCUGUGGCGAAGGCGGUCUACCAGAACACGUCCGACGGUGAGGGGUGAAAGCUGGGGGAGCAAACCGGAUUAGAUACCCGGGUAGUCCCAGCUGUAAACUAUGCAAACUCAGUGAUGCAUUGGCUUGAUGCCAAUGCAGUGUUGCAGGGAAGCCGUUAAGUUUGCCGCCUGGGAAGUACGUACGCAAGUAUGAAACUUAAAGGAAUUGGCGGGGGAGCACCACAAGGGGUGAAGCCUGCGGUUCAAUUGGAGUCAACGCCGG